AUUGAACGCUGGCGGCAUGCCUUACACAUGCAAGUCGAACGGUAACAGGUUAAGCUGACGAGUGGCGAACGGGUGAGUAAUGUAUCGGAACGUGCCCAGUCGUGUGGGAUAACUGCUCGAAAGAGCAGCUAAUACCGCAUACGACCUGAGGGAGAAAGCGGGGGAUCGCAAGACCUCGCUCGAUUGGAGCGGCCGAGAUCCGAUUAGGUAGUUGGUGAGGUAAAGGCUCACCAAGCCGACGAUCUGUAGCUGGUCUGAGAGGACGACCAGCCACACUGGGACUGAGACACGGCCCAGACUCCUACGGGAGGCAGCAGUGGGGAAUUUUGGACAAUGGGCGCAAGCCUGAUCCAGCCAUGCCGCGUGCGGGAAGAAGGCCUUCGGGUUGUAAACCGCUUUUGUCAGGGAAGAAAAGGUUCUGGCUAAUACCUGGGAAUCAUGACGGUACCUGAAGAAUAAGCACCGGCUAACUACGUG
rnacentral:rRNA from 1 species